rnacentral:rRNA from 1 species
UACGUAGGGUGCAAGCGUUGUCCGGAAUUAUUGGGCGUAAAGAGCUCGUAGGCGGUUUGUCGCGUCUGCUGUGAAAGUCGGGGGCUCAACCCUCGAAUGCCGGUGGAUACUGUCGGGCUAGAGUGCGGAAGAGGCGAGUGGAAUUCCUGGUGUAGCGGUGAAAUGCGCAGAUAUCAGGAGGAACACCGAUUGCGAAGGCAGCUCGCUGGGACGUGAACUGACGCUGAGACGCGAAAGCGUGGGGGAGCAAACAGG